GUGGGGAAUAUUGCGCAAUGGGCGAAAGCCUGACGCAGCGACGCCGCGUGGGGGAGGAAGGCCUCAGGGUUGUAAACCCCUGUCAGGUGGGAAAAAACGCCUUCGGUAAAUAGCCGAAGGAACUGAUGGUACCACCAGAGGAAGCACCGGCUAACUCCGUGCCAGCAGCCGCGGUAAUACGGAGGGUGCAAGCGUUGUUCGGAAUUACUGGGCGUAAAGGGCGCGUAGGCGGUGCAGUAAGUCAGAUGUGAAAGCCCUGGGCUCAACCCAGGAAGUGCAUUUGAAACUGCUGCACUUGAGUAUGGGAGAGGAGAGUGGAAUUCCCAGUGUAGAGGUGAAAUUCGUAGAUAUUGGGAGGAACACCCGUGGCGAAGGCGACUCUCUGGACCAAUACUGACGCUGAGGCGCGAAAGCGUGGGGAGCAAACAGGAUUAGAAACCCGAGUAGUCC
rnacentral:rRNA from 1 species